CCUACGGGUGGCAGCAGUGAGGAAUAUUGGUCAAUGGGCGCGAGCCUGAACCAGCCAAGUAGCGUGAAGGAUGACUGCCCUACGGGUUGUAAACUUCUUUUAUAAAGGAAUAAAAUGAAGCACGUUGGCCUUUUUGUAUGUACUUAAUGAAUAAGGACCGGCUAACUCAGUGCCAGCAGCCGCGGUAAUACGGAGGAUCCGAGCGUUAUCCGGAUUUUUUGGGUUUAAAGGGAGCGUAGAUGGGUUGUUAAGUCAGUUGUGAAAGUUUGCGGCUCAACCGUAAAAUUGCAAUUGAUACUGGCAGUCUUGAGUACAGUUGAGGUAGGCGGAAUUCGUGGUGUAGCGGUGAAAUGCUUAGAUAUCACGAAGAACUCCGAUUGCGAAGGCAGCUUACUAAACUGCCACUGACAUUGAUGCUCGAAAGUGUGGGUAUCAAACAGGAUUAGAUACCCCAGUAGUC
rnacentral:rRNA from 1 species